rnacentral:rRNA from 1 species
CGUUAGCCCUAAACCUAAAUAAAAUAAACAAAACUAUUUGCCUGAGAACUACUAGCUAUGGCUUAAAACUCAAAGGACUUGGCGGUACUUUAUAUCCACC